UCAGUUGUACCUACAGAAGACGACCGAGAGAAUAUAAUUGUUAUAAAUUCAAUAAGUAUAAUCACUUAGUUUAGAAUAAUGAUAUUUCUGGAGCGUUGAAUUUUAGUUCUUAUUGCAUGUGCUAUAAACAUUGAUUAGAAUAUGACAAGUAAAGACUUUUUGAAUAAUCCCCAUCAUUAUAAUGAAAUAUCUAUUUUGGAUGCUGUUGGCUUUGGGCGUGUUAAAAACAGAAUGCUUUCCGGAGCAAAGCUUUUCAUUAUAUUGCCUUAGAAAUCUCCACCAUCUCAUUGAUAUUGCGUGCAAUGUCAAUUCGGAAGGUGACAACUCCGCAGAUAUUUACAAAUCCAUCCGGAGCUACCCUGAAGACUGUUCGAGAGCUUACACGUUGGAACAAUUAAUGGAGUAUUGUUAAAUUAAUAAAGCAAUGACUUGUAAAAGAAUCAAAUAAACAGAUAUAUAUAAAA